GGGUGUGAUAAGGUUCACGCUGAGGCGUUUUAAGUGUAUAUGAGUCACUGAGCUGGCGUUUUUCUUGGUAGAAAGCUUAAUUCUUCCUCGAAGCGAGCUGCAGCUGACUACUUACUGAAGUGUGGGCUUGUGGAGUUAAACAACUGAGAUUUAGCUUUUAAAAUGUCACUUUGCAGCUUAGUUGCAUCUGUGUUUACAGGAAUUGCGGCUGAAAGAAAGCGGGAGGUGUGUACACACAUUGCCAUCUUCCUUGGCUGAAGAAAGAAAUACUGUUGCUGCAGGAAGCAAAAUAAAACAUGUUGUGAAUCCCUGAGGAGACCUGCUAUGGGAGGUCACAAAAUAAAGCCCCAAUUCUCAGAAGCAUGCUUCACAAAUAUGGAUCAUGCUACGUGACUUACACACCAGGCAAGUCUCUUAAGGUUCCCGUUAAGCUGGACUCACCACUGAGACAUAUUGAACAGAAAACAAGGAUAUGCUUCUGCGUAAAAAACCA
rnacentral:lncRNA from 1 species